ACUCAAAUGAAUUGACGGGGACCCGCACAAGCAGUGGAGUAUGUGGUUUAAUUCGAAGCAACGCGAAGAACCUUACCAGGCCUUGACAUCCCCCUGAAUGUCCUAGAGAUAGGGCAGGCCUUCGGGACAGGGGAGACAGGUGGUGCAUGGUUGUCGUCAGCUCGUGUCGUGAGAUGUUGGGUUAAGUCCCGCAACGAGCGCAACCCUUGAUGCUAGUUGCCAGCACGUCGCGGUGGGCACUCUAGGAUGACUGCCGGUGACAAACCGGAGGAAGGCGGGGAUGACGUCAAAUCAUCAUGCCCCUUAUGGCCUGGGCUACACACGUACUACAAUGGCCGGUACAACGGGAAGCGAAGGAGCGAUCCGGAGCGAAUCUUAGAAAAGCCGGUCUCAGUUCGGAUUGCAGGCUGCAACUCGCCUGCAUGAAGUCGGAAUUGCUAGUAAUCGCGGAUCAGCAUGCCGCGGUGAAUACGUUCCCGGGUCUUGUACACACCGCCCGU
rnacentral:rRNA from 1 species